rnacentral:misc_RNA from 1 species
AAUUGCACAGCCAUAUCCUCCCUCUCAAAUCCUCACAAAAAUUAACCAAAAAAAAUCCUUAAUUCAUCAAGCACAGCGUAAAAUCACCCAAAUUAAAACUCAAUUCUUGAAAAUUAAGAGAUUAACUCAAAUUAAAAUUAUGUCAAUUAACAAAUCUACGAGGUACAUUUCACAAAUAUGCAACUUGAACCAACAUGCAACAAGGUUGCAUGAACCGUAAACCUGGAAUCUUGAAACCAACGACAAAACUUGAAUGUGCACCAAGAAAAUUUGAACAUAGAAUGCAAGAGAACAUGCUAAAACAUCAGCAUGCAGCUAGGAACUGAAUCAUAGAGGGGCAGAGGACUGAGUCGGUCGCGUGAUGUGACAGCGUAGAUGAAGGUGAUGACUCGAUCGGGAGCCGGGAGGACAGGAAUUGAGGAAGAAGAGGAAGAGCAAGUAUAGCGGAAGAAAAGGAUGGAGGGAUUUGUGCCAUUCGGCUCACAGCUCACAAGGGGAAGAAAAG